rnacentral:rRNA from 1 species
GGGUAUGAUACCGGCUCAGAACGAACGCUGGCGGCGUGGAUCAGGCAUGCAAGUCGAACGAGAAAUCCGGUUUCGAUCGGAGAGUAUAGUGGCGAAAGGGUGAGUAAUGCGCAGAUAACCUGCCCAUCAGUGGGGGAUAACUGCUUGAAAAAGCAGCUAAUACCGCAUGUGGCCUAUUAUCUCAUGAUUUUAGGUCAAAGGUUGGGGCCCUUCGGGGUAGCCGCUGAUGGAGGGGUCUGCGUCCUAUUAGCUUGUUGGUGAGGUAACGGCUCACCAAGGCAGAGAUGGGUACGGGGCCUGAGAGGGUGUUCCCGCACACUGGGACUGAGACACUGCCCAGACUCCUACGGGAGGCUGCAGUCGAGAAUCAUUCGCAAUGGACGAAAGUCUGACGAUGCGACGCCGCGUGGACGAUGAAGGCCUUCGGGUCGUAAAGUCCUGUCAGGAGUGAGGAACUGCCAUGGCAACCCAAUGCCAUGGUUUGACGUAAGCUCCAGAGGAAGCCACGGCUAACUUCGUGCCAGCAGCCGCGGUAAUACGAAGGUGGCAAGCGUUGUUCGGAAUCACUGGGCAUAAAGGGCAUCUAGGCGGCGAGGUGUGUCGGUUGUGAAAUCCCUCGACUCAAUCGAGGAACUGCAUCCGAAACUAUCUUGCUAGAGUUCAGAAGGGGAGAGCGGAAUUCCUGGUGGAGCGGUGAAAUGCGUAGAGAUCAGGAGGAACACCGGUGGCGAAGGCGGCUCUCUAGUCUGAAACUGACGCUGAAGUGCGAAAGCCAGGGGAGCGAACGGGAUUAGAUACCCCGGUAGUCCUGGCCGUAAACGAUGGGCACUACGUAGAGGGGGCCCGACGCCUUCUCUGCCGGAGUUAACGUAUUAAGUGCCCCGCCUGGGGAGUAUAGUCGCAAGGCCGAAACUCAAGGUAAUUGACGGGGGCUCACACAAGCGGUGGAGCAUGUUGCUUAAUUCGAUGAUACGCGAGGAACCUUAUCCUGGGCUUGACAUGUAUGGAUUAGCCUGCUGAAAGGUAGGUGACGCUCUUGAGUGGAACAUACACAGGUGCUGCAUGGCUGUCGUCAGCUCGUGUCGUGAGAUGUUAGGUUAAGUCCUUUAACGAGCGAAACCCUUGUCCUUAGUUGCCAGCGUGUUAUGACGGGGACUCUAAGGAGACUGCCGGUGUUAAACCGGAGGAAGGUGGGGAUGACGUCAAGUCCUCAUGGCCCUUAUGCCCAGGGCUGCAAACGUGCUACAAUGGUCGGUACAGAGGGAUGCAAGACCGCAAGGUGGAGCGAAUCCCAAAAAAAACCGGCCCCAGUUCGGAUUGGGGGCUGCAACUCGCCCCCAUGAAUGUUGGAAUCGCUAGUAAUCGGAGAUCAGCUACGCUCCGGUGAAUAUGUUCCUGAGCCUUGUACACACCGCCCGUCAAGCCAUCCGAGUUGGGUACACCCGAAGUCGCUGCUCUAACCCGCAAGGGAAGAAGGCGCCGAAGGUGAAUCUGGCAAGGAGGACUAAGUCGUAACAAGGUA